CGUGUGCUUACAAGUAGUCAGAGCCCGUUAAUGGGUGAUGGCGUGCCUUUUGUAGAAUGAACCGGCGAGUUACGAUUUGAUGCAAGGUUAAGCAGUAAAUGUGGAGCCGUAGCGAAAGCGAGUCUGAAUAGGGCGUUUAGUAUUUGGUCGUAGACCCGAAACCAGGUGAUCUACCCUUGGUCAGGUUGAAGUUCAGGUAACACUGAAUGGAGGACCGAACCGACUUACGUUGAAAAGUGAGCGGAUGAACUGAGGGUAGCGGAGAAAUUCCAAUCGAACCUGGAGAUAGCUGGUUCUCUCCGAAAUAGCUUUAGGGCUAGCCUCAAGUGAUGAUUAUUGGAGGUAGAGCACUGUUUGGACGAGGGGCCCCUCUCGGGUUACCGAAUUCAGACAAACUCCGAAUGCCAAUUAAUUUAACUUGGGAGUCAGAACAUGGGUGAUAAGGUCCGUGUUCGAAAGGGAAACAGCCCAGACCACCAGCUAAGGUCCCAAAAUAUAUGUUAAGUGGAAAAGGAUGUGGCGUUGCCCAGACAACUAGGAUGUUGGCUUAGAAGCAGCCAUCAUUUAAAGAGUGCGUAAUAGCUCACUAGUCGAGUGACACUGCGCCGAAAAUGUACC
rnacentral:rRNA from 1 species